ensembl:lncRNA novel transcript, antisense to GCFC2
GACUCCUCGGCGCCAUCGCUGUCGCUGGAAUCAGCCGCGCGCUGCCGAAAAGUCCUUUUCGGCCUGUGAGCCAUGGCCGAGGCCCGAGCGCCCGGCGCCCUAGAACCCGCUGAACCGCAAGCCGCAGCUUCAGUGCCCGCCCCCUAGGGCGCGCUCCCGCCGCGCCUGGCCGCCGAGUGCGCGCGCCCGUCCCGCCUGCCUUCUGCUCACCGCUACUCUGUCUGCGCCUGCGUGCUUUGGCUCCCUGGAUCUGAGCCGAAGCUGGACUGUACUGCUGCCAUCUCGGCUGACUGCAACCUCCCUGCCUGAUUCUCCUGCCUCAGCCUGCCGAGUGCCUGCGAUUGCAGGUGCGCGCCGCCACACCAGACUGGUUUUCGUAUUUUUUUGGUGGAGACGGGGUUUCGCUGUGUUGGCCGGGCUGGUCUCCAGCUCCUAACCGCGGGUGAUCCGCCAGCCUCAGCCUCCCGAGGUGCCGGGAUUGCAGACGGAGUCUCGUUCACUCAGUGCUCAAUGGUGCCCAGGCUGGAGUGCAGUGGCGUGAACCUCCACCUCCCAGCCACCUGCCUUGGCCUCCCAAAGUGCCGAGAUUGCAGCCUCUGCCCGGCCGCCACGCCGUCUGGGAAGUGAGGAGUGUCUCUGCCUGGCCGCCCAUCGUCUGGGAUGUGAGGAGCCCCUCUGCCUGGCUGCCCAGUCUGGAAAGUGAGGAGCGUCUCUGCCCGGCCGCCAUCCCAUCUAGGAAGUGAGGAGUGCCUCUUCCCUGCCGCCAUCCCAUCUAGGAAGUGAGGAGCGUCUCUGCCCGGCCGCCCAUCGUCUGAGAUGUGGGGAGCGCCUCUGUCCCACCGCCCCGUCUGGGGUGUGAGGAGCGCCUCUGCCCGGCCACCACCCCAUCUGGGAGGGGUACCCAGCAGCUCACUGAGAACGGGCCAUGAUGACAAUGGCGGUUUUGUGGAAUGGAAAGGGGGGAAAGGUGGGGAAAAGAUUGAGAAAUCGGAUGGUUGCGGUGUCUGUGUAGAAAGAAGUAGACAUGGGAGACUUUUCAUUUUGUUCUGUACUAAGAAAAAUUCUUCUGCCUUGGGAUCCUGGUGAUCGGUGACCUUACCCCCAACCCUGUGCUCUCUAAAACAUGUGCUGUGUCCACUCAGGGUUAAAUGGAUUAAGGGCGGUGCAAGAUAUGCUUUGUUCAACAGAUGCUUGAAGGCAGCAUGCUCGUUAAGAGUCAUCACCACUCCCUAAUCUCAAGUACCCAGGGACACAAACACGGCGGAGGGCCGCAGGGUCCUCUGCCUAGGAAAACCAGAGACCUUUGUUCACUUGUUUAUCUGCUGACCUUCCCUCCACUAUUGUCCUAUGACCCUGCCAAAUCCCCCUCUGCGAGAAACACCCAAGAAUGAUCAAUAAAAAAUUAAAAAAAAAAAAUUACACAACUUCUUCUUUAGAAGCCUGAUAAAGCCAUUUAAAUUUAAAUUUAUUCACUGAAGUUAUCAUGAAUAGUUACAUAGCCUUUGAAUUAUUCUUAACAAUCCAAGGAAAAAUUUACUAUAAUAGAUCACUUCUUGAUGUGGUUAUAUAUGUUAGAGGACAAGUAGAAUAGUCCAUGUCUAAGCUAAAAUAAACAUCUACCUCUCUAAAACAGAUCCAGGUGAAUUCUGGGAUAUAUUUUCAUCACCCUUAUUUUAUAUUCUAGGCUUCUGUCUUUGAGACUUAUUGUGAAGGUGAAUAAGUAAUCAUAUUUUUUAGGUUAUUACUUUUUUGCAGUUGGCCAAUAUAUCCUAUUCAGACAUCUAAAUAUGACUGCAUAGCCAUUGUCAUGUAAGAUGAUUCAAUUCAUCCUAUGACAGAAGGAGGAGUUAACCCUAAUCCAAUAUGGACUCUGUUCUCUGAACGACUGUACUAGUCCAUUCCAGCACUGUUUAAAGACAUACCUGAGAUUGGGUAAUUUAAAAAGAGGUUUAAUUAGCUCAUGGUUCAGCAGGCUGUAUAGGAAGCAUGAUGGUGGCAUCUGGGUGGCUUCUGGGGAGGCCUCAGGAAACUUGAAACCCCUCAGGUGAAGGGGAAGCACACAGAUCAGCUCACAUGGCCAUAGUAGGAGCAAGAGAGAGAUGGGGGAGAUGCCACACACUUUUAAAUGACCAGAUCUCACGAGAACUCAAUCAUUAUUGUCAUGACAGUACUAAGGUGGAAAUCCACUCCCGUGAUCCAAUCACCUCCCAUCAGGCCCCACCUCCAACACUGGGGAUUACAAUUCAACAUGAGAUCUGGGUGGAGACAGAGAUCCAAACCAUAUCAACAACUUUCUGAUCUUGAUUAGCAAAAUCUCAGCAAUGGUAAAAAUCUGAAUAUCAACAAUAUCAUCUUCCUUUGGCAGGGGAUUGAGAAAAAUAAUUGCUUCUGUUUUCUGAUAGCAUCCAAUUUGGAGCAAAUUCCUACAUCCUUAACACCCACCGUCAAUCAUCUAAGACAAACUCAAAUCCUAAAACCUUCCUACUGAGAGAGCCCAGGAGUAGUAAACCCAAGUUCCACAACUGCAGGUGCAUUUGUAGUAGUCUUUGACUGGAGGGAAUUGACAGAUUGAGUGAUGUAAAAUUGCCAUUGUUGUAAGCAAAAAAUCGUUGCAUAUUGGCCAUUUUAUAUGGUUCAACUUAAUGCAACAAACAUGGCCAUUUUGAGGGUCUAUCUCUGAGAGUCAGUGGUAAUUCUAAGAGAAAAAGCCCUACUACUACAUGUUGAGCAUCCCUAGUCCAAAUACCUGAAAUCCAAAAUGAUCCAAAAUCUAAAACCUUUAAAGUGGCAACAUGAUUCAACAAAAGGGAAAUUCCACAUGUGACUUCAUGUGAUGGAGCACAGUAAAAAUGUAGACAAAACUUUGUUUCAUGCACAAAAUUAUUUAAAAUAUUGUGUAAAGUUACCAUCAGCCUAUGUGUAUACUGUGUGUAUAAAACAUAAAUAAAUUUCAUGUUUAGACUUGGAUCCUAUCCCCAAAAUAUUUCAUUAUGUAUGUGCAAGUAUUCCAAAAUCUGAAAAAAAUCUAAAUUUGAAAAUCUUCUGGUCCCAUGCAUUUUGGAUAAGGAACAUUCAACUUAUAUUUCUACUACUAGAUGAUAGAUAAGUUAUCAAGAGUUAAUAGGAAAAUGUGGUAGAAACAGUAGAUAGCUUUUAAAUUAAUGUUGUCUGGAGAGAAAGAUAGGAAAGAAUUAGAUAUUGGAGAGGCUUCAGAGGGUUUAUAUGCAAAGACAGAGAUGAAAGUAAAAAAAAAAGGAGUUAAAAAUACUGCAGAGAGUAAAUACUGGAACCCCAGAAGCAUGGAAAAGGUUGGAAUUUAGUCCUCAAGGAAGAAUAGCCCAGGAAAUAAUAACUGCAAACUCAAAGUAGACCUCCGAUGUGCGAAGACUGUUCUAAAAUCCUUGCAAGUUGAAUCUUGAAAACAUCAUGUUAAGGGAAGGAAGCCAGUGACAAAAGAACAGAGAGUGCAUGAUUUCAUUUAUAUGAAAUAUUCAGAAUAGGUAAGUCUACAGAGGCAGAAAGUUGAUUUGUGGUUGCCAGGAGCUUUGGGGAGGGAAGAAUGGGGAGUGGCUGCUAAUGGGUACAGGGUUUCUUUUUGGGGUGAUAAAAAUGUUCUAAAUUUAGAUUGUGAUGAUGGUUGUACAACUCUGUGAAUAUACUAAAAAUCAUUUAACUAUAUACAUUAAUUAUGCAAAUUGUAUGUGAAUUAUGUAUCAAUAAAGAUAUUUUUAAAA